UGGCUGAUGGCUCAGAUGAUAAAGCAUCUGUCUGCAAUACAGGAGACCUGGGUUCAAUCCCUGGGUCAG
rnacentral:tRNA from 1 species